ACGAACGCUGGCGGCAGGCCUAACACAUGCAAGUCGAACGCCCCGCAAGGGGAGUGGCAGACGGGUGAGUAACACGUGGGAACGUGCCCUAAGGUUCGGAAUAUUCCCGGGAAACUGGGAGCAAUACCGAAUGUGUCCGCAAGGAGAAAGAUUUAUCGCCUUAGGAUCGGCCCGCGUCGGAUUAGCUAGUUGGUGGGGUAAAAGCCUACCAAGGCGACGAUCCGUAGCUGGUUUGAGAGAACGACCAGCCACACUGGGACUGAGACACGGCCCAGACUCCUACGGGAGGCAGCAGUGGGGAAUCUUGGACAAUGGGCGCAAGCCUGAUCCAGCCAUGCCGCGUGAGUGAUGAAGGCCUUAGGGUUGUAAAACUCUUUCGCCGAGGACGAUAAUGACGGUACUCGGAGAAGAAGCUCCGGCUAACUUCGU
rnacentral:rRNA from 1 species